rnacentral:rRNA from 1 species
CAGUCGGGAAUAUUGCACAAUGGAGGGAACUGUGAUGCAGUGACGCCGGGUAUAGGAAGAAGGUUUUCGGAUUGUAAACUAUUGUCAUGUGGGAAGAAAAUGACGGUACCACAAGAGGAAGCCCCGGCUAAAUAUGUGCCAGCAGCCGCGGUAAUACAUAUGGGGCGAGCGUUAUCCGGAUUUAUUGGGUGUAAAGGGUGUGUAGGCGGACUUUAAAGUUGGUUGUGAAAUCCCUCGGCUUAACCGAGGAACUGCAACCAAAACUAAAAGCCUUGAGUGUUAGAGAGGAAAGUGGAAUUCCUAGUGUAGCGGUGGAAUGCGUAGAUAUUAGGAGGAACACCAGAGGCGAAGGCAGCACACUAAGUCAUUAUUGACGCUGAGGCACGAAAGUGUGGGGAUCAAAAAGGACUAGAUACCCUGGUAGUCCACACUGUAAACGAUGAUAACUCGCUGUCGGCGAUACACAGUCGGUGGCCAAGCGAAAGCAUUAAGUUAUCCACCUGGGGAGUACGACCGCAAGGUUGAAACUCAAAGGAAUUGACGGGGGCCCGCACAAGCGGAGGAACAUGUGGUUUAAUUCGAUGAUACGCGAGGAACCUUACCCGGGCUCGAACGGUGCAUGAAUAUACGAGAGAUUGUAUAGUCCUUCGGGACAUGUAUCGAGGUGCUGCAUGGUUGUCGUCAGCUCGUGCCGUGAGGUGUCGGCUUAAGUGCCAUAACGAGCGCAACCCUUGUCAUUAGUUGCCAUCAGGUCAAGCUGGGGACUUUAAUGAGACUGCCACCGUAAGGUGUGAGGAAGGGGGGGAUGACGUCAAAUCAGCACGGCCCUUAUGUCCGGGGCGACACACGUGUUACAAUGGGAGGUACAGAGGGCAGCUAUCCAGUGACGGAAUGCUAAUCUCCAAAACCUUUCUCAGUUCGGAUUGGAGUCUGCAACUCGACUCCAUGAAGGUGGAUUCGCUAGUAAUCGCGCAUCAGCCAUGGCGCGGUGAAUACGUUCCCGGGC